AUUUAUUUAUUUAUUUUUUGUCACAGGGGCAGAAUCUGAGAAGUCUGAGCUGAAGACACUGGCAAAUUCAGUGUCUGAGAUGUGAUAACACCCUAGAGAAGAUAUUGAGACUGAGCCUUUGGAACUACCAACAAAGAGCAGAUCAUCUAAACAGUGAAAAAAUUGGCUAUCAAAGGAUGGAGGCACCUAUGCUAACGUCUUCUGCGUCCACCGCUGGUACAUGGCAGAAGAUUUGGUUUUACCAACACUUCUCUCCUUCUCUUAGUGUCUACAGAGUAACCAGGACCAGGGGCUUUGCUCUGUCCAUGAAGGUAACCCGCAGACUUGGUGCUUCUGGACCCCCCUGUACCUAACGUCCCCUCCAUCUGCAGCAUCACAUAGACAAGAUGGUGACAUGGAUACCUGCUGUGAAAGAAGACACAACAGGACCAAACGGUGGUCACUUAUACUAAGCCCCAUGUCCCCAAACCAAGACUCAAUACCUAACUUAACUACAGUUUCGGCCUCUCCCAGCAAUGGGAUCUGAAACCCAUCAAACUGUAAUUACUUGGUCAGCACUAGUGAAGUAAUGUGCCUCACAGACCGCUACCAGCACUUAAAGAAAGGUGGCCUUACCACACCAUCCACUUCUUGCAAUCCACUUUUUGCUUGCCACCAAUCCCACAGCUUCCUUGUCCACCUCCCUUCUGCCCGUAAGUCUUCUAUUUUGUACAGUUCCUCGGAGCCCCUUUCUGUCGCUGGAUGGGAUGAUGCCCAAUUCAUGUACCAUAAAAUAAAGACAAUAGGAUCUUUUAAAUUUA